UUAUUGGAGAGUUUGAUCCUGGCUCAGGACGAACGCUGGCGGCAUGCCUAAUACAUGCAAGUCGAGCGGACUUGAAGAGAAGCUUGCUUCUCUGAUAGUUAGCGGCGGACGGGUGAGUAACACGUAGGCAACCUGCCCUCAAGUUUGGGACAACUACCGGAAACGGUAGCUAAUACCGAAUAGUUGUUUUCUUCUCCUGAAGAGAACUGGAAAGACGGAGCAAUCUGUCACUUGGGGAUGGGCCUGCGGCGCAUUAGCUAGUUGGUGGGGU
rnacentral:rRNA from 1 species